GACGAACGCUGGCGGCGUGCCUAAUACAUGCAAGUCGAACGCAGUGGGGACGGGUGAGUAACACGUGGGUAACCUCCCAUCAGAGGGGAUAACACUUGGCAACAGGUGCUAAACCGAUACUGAUGGAUGGACCCGCGGUGCAUUGGCUAGUUGGUGAGGUAACGGCUCACCAAGGCCACGAUGCAUAGCAGACCUGAGAGGGGAAUCGGCAACAUGGGGAGUGAACAACGGCCCAAACUCCUACGGAGGGCAGAAGGAGGGAAGCGUCGGCAAUGGACGAAAGUCUGACCGAGCAACGCCGCGUGAGGGAAGAAGGUUUUCGGAUCGUAAAACUCUGUUGUUAGAGAAGCGGUAUCUAACCAGAAAGCCACGGCUAACUACGUGCCAGCCGCCGCGGUAAUC
rnacentral:rRNA from 1 species